rnacentral:tRNA from 1 species
GCCUUCAUGGUGUAAUGGUCAGCACACUCGACGCGUAUUCGAGAGAUAGGUGGUUCGAGUCCCGGCGAGGGCA